UACAUGAUGUAAGUGCUGCUGAAGCCCUGCUGAGUCAGAGUCCACAAAUCAAACAGCCCCUAGAAACCUGCCCUUCUCUGGCAGGGUUAGGGCUGAGACUGGGCCCUCAGACCAUUUGGAAUGACCAGUGAUUUCAGCUCUCACUCCCUUCUCAUCAGCACGUGUCUACAGUUGCAAGUUCUCACUCUGUAGCCCAGUCUGGAGUGCAGUGGUACAAUAAUGGCUCACUUCAGCUUUGACCUUCCAGGCUCAAGCGGUCCUUCUACCUCAGCCUCUGGAGCAACUGGAACCACGGGUGCACCCCACCACGCCCAGCUAACUUUUGUAUUUUUUUGUAGAGACAGGGUUUUGCCAUGUUGCUCAGUCCCAAUAUCAUCACCAGAUGAGAAUAUGUAUGGAUUCAUGAACAAGAAAAUUGCUUAACCAUUUGAUCAAGAGAGAUUGGAAAAUCAAGAUGAAGCAGGUCUGGGUGAAAGAGCUGUGAAUGGAUUAAUGGAACAGAAAGGAGGUGUGGAGAUCCUUCUAUUACAUGUUAAUGAUCACCAGGGAACAUCCACUACAAUAGAACAUCCCACUAAAUCACCAGUAGACACAAGAGAAUAUGUGGCCAGUUGACUUUGGCCAGCCUCUGUCAUUAGAUGUCAAUGUUCAAACAACGGUACAUGAAUGGCAUAGCCCUGGUAGCAGGAGUGGGGGCUAUGCAUGGAUCCAGCAAUACACACUCCCACUCCACAACAUUGACCCAGCCACCAAGGCUGACAAAAUAUUCAACCUUCCAGCAACAGAAACCAAGGAUGACCCUUAUCCCUGCCCAGGUAUGGUAUUAGCCCUUGAGACUAACCAGCCAUGUGGUGGGAAGUUGAAUAUCUUCUACCCUGGAAAGGUCAUUGAUUCAUUUUAGUAUGAAUUAAUUCAUGUUUCUGGGUUGGAUUUGCUGUUCUUGCCUGCAGGGCCUCAGCUGGCACCAGCAUCUAAAGGCUUAGAGAGUUAGUGAUCCACCAACAUGGCAUCUCACAUAACAUCCCAUCAAACCAAGUGACCCACUUUACUAGAAAUGAGGUGCACGAGUGGACAAGCUCCAGCUUGACCCAAGUGGAACAAGCUCUACUAGUCCCAUCAGAUCAUGCACCAUCCAGAAGCUGCCACACUAACAGAGUGAUGGAAAGGCCUGUUGAAGGCAUAGUGGAUGAGCCACACCAUUGCAAGGUAAUGUCAUCGGAGGUUUAUUUAGCAUGUGUAUUACACCCAGAAGAAUGGUGUCCCAUCCUUGCAAGGUAAUGUCAUCAUCAGAUUCUCCUGGGUGUAAUAUACAUGCUAAACAAACAAUCAUUAUAUGAUGCUGUGUCCCCAAGAGGUAAAAUAUGUGGGAGCUAAGGAGUGGAAGCAGCAAUAGCCUCACUUACCAUCAAUACAAUUGACUCCUUAGGGAACUUGUGCCUAGGCUCUGUGGGUUUAGAGGUCCUGGUGCCCAAAGGAGAUGUGCUUCCAUCAGGGAAUACAACAAGCAUUCAAUUGAACAUGAGGUUAAGGCUGCCACUUGGGAGCAUCAGGCUCCUCAUGCCAAGAGAUCACCAAGCAAAAAGAGGAAUCACCGUACCAUGAGCAUUAAUCAAUCCCAUUCUUCAGAAGGAGAUGGGACUGCUGACACAAGGCCACAGAGAGGCCCCCAGAUAACUUGCCUGGGUGUCCCUUAGAAUUCCCUUGCCCAUUUUUUAAUAAUAGAUGGAUAAAUGCAACAGUCUCCACCUAACAAAGGCAUAAUGAUGGGACUUCUCAAGAGUGAGAAGCUAGGUCAUUCCACCAGCCAAGUAGACCAGCAGAGGUACCAAAAAGAGACAGGAAAUCUAGACUGUAAAGUAAAACAGGAAGAUUCCCCAGGAACAGAAGCCAACUGUGAUCCUAGAGGAGCUUCUCCUUAACAUGCAGAAAGAAGUGGAUCCAUGAAGCACAAGAGCUGAGCUGUCAUGGAAACUGCACAUCUCAAAUUUCCCAUCAGGACUGAAGGACCUAGUCCCCCACAGGCUGAAGACAGUCACCUUACCCAACUUCAUGCUCUCUUCCAGGGGCAGCCUGCAUCCAACAACUUGUCAGCACAGGACUAUAAAGGCCUUACCCUUUGCCUCUGUGAAGCAUCCCACAGAGAGGUGCAUCCACCUCUGAAGGUACAUCCCAGCUUCAGGCUCCCAGUCACUUUGGGCUUACCCAGCCUCUUCGUCUGCCCUGCUUUUCUCCCUCCCCUUCCUUCCUGCAGGUUUGGAUCCUGAGAGCACUCCCUAAUAAACCUCAUGCCCAC
ensembl:lncRNA novel transcript